rnacentral:lncRNA from 1 species
ACUUAUACAAUUCCGUGGUCAUUUUAAAAGUAUUAAUGGAAUGGCUUUUUUACAACACAUUUAUCUCCUAGAAGUAGGACUCUUAAAGUGAUAGAAAAAUGUUUCCUUAAAAUGUGUCAAAAUAUAAAAGAUUUAAAAUUUAAUAGGUGUGCUCAAGGGUUUGUGUAUGUGAACCUCCAAUAAACCUGACUGUAGUACAGCGUGAACCAUUAAUUCAAACAUCAGAUUUUUAGACCUAGAACAAAAAUAGGGAAUUAGAAAGCAAGCAAAAAUUCCUCCUGAGAUAAAUGCCUUAAAGCCAUGGGCUUUUCUCUGUCAGAAGGGGACAUGGUAAUUUGCCUCAUUUAGUUACCCAGCCACCCAGCAUCUGCUGAGCUCCUAUGAGAUGCCAGGCAUUGCACUGGGGGUAGGAUACUAUGUCCCCUAGAAGCUCAGAGUUAACUGGAGAAAUAAGCAAAAACAAACAGCUAUGAUAAAAUAUUAAAGUUAUAUAAUAAAGUAUGCAUAAAAUUCUAAGAGAGCAUAAGAAAAGUAGUUAGCUAUGCCCAAGGAAGGCUUCACACAGGAGGUGAUAUUUAAAUGGGAGCUUAACUGAUGAGCAGGCAUUGGGAAGACAGGGAAAUUUUGAGCCACAGGGAGAAUCAAGCACAAGGUGUUUUGCUCAGAGAAGAGCAAAAGGUCAGUGUGGCUUGGAUUUGGGGUGAAUGCAUGGGGCAGGGAUCCUUUCUAAGCAGUGUUAAAUAAAGAAUAGCAUUCUCUCCUAAGAAAUCACUUAUCAUUCACUCACCAAAUAUUUACUGGGUGGAAUUCUUAGGCCAAAGCCCCGUCCUGUACACCCAAAGUAAGUUUACUUCUUGUCCACCAAAGAUUUCAGUCUAGAUGAUGAGUCAGUAUGUAGUGUGUUGAAUGAUCCAUCUGGGCAGGGGGAUGGAUGCAGCUGGGGACAGAAGGAUACAAACUGAGAGCAAAAGCACUGAAGCCUGGAGUAAGGUAUUAUAGGAAAAUGCAGCCGAGCUCACCUCAAAGACCCUGAAGACCUCAAAGACCCUGAGGACCUCACUGCAUCAUUGUGCAGUGCAGUCAAUCGCAUUCAUCAUGUUCCUCUGAGUCAUCAAGGAAAAGUUACAUCAUAGAAUUUUAUGACCAGAAUAGAACUUGGAGGUCAUCAUGUCCUCUCUAUCCCAAAUCACUGCUGAAAACUAGGAUCCAGCCUUUCCUCUUUGUCUAAAAUUGAAGUGAAUCUCAGUAUUUGAGAAGCAUUUAGCUUACUCUCAUUUUAGGCAGCUCUGAGGGUGGUAAAAAUCCCCAUAUGUUUCACUAAAUUCUGCCUCCCUGUUAAUUUCUUCCCACAUGGAGUUUCUGAGAGGAUAGGAUAAAACUAUUAUAUUAUCCUAUUUAAAACUUAACAUUCUAUUUGAUAUUAGAGAAGGAGAUAGGAAAAUGUGUUUAUAGGAGCUUUCAACCAAGAUCUCUGAUGUACAAGGAAUUGGUUUUUUUUUUGUUGUUGUUGUUUUGUUUUGUUUUUUUUUUGUUUGUUUUUAGGGCCACACCCAUGGCAUAUGGAAGUUCCCAGGCUAGGGGUCAAAUCAGAGCUAUAGCUGCAAGCCUACACCACAGACACAGCAACAUGGGAUCCCAGCCGAGUCUGCAAACUUCACCAUACCUCACGGCAAUGUCGGAUCCCUGACCCAUUGAGCAAGGCCGGGGAUUGAACCUGCAUCCUCAUGGAUAUUCAUCGGAUUCAUUUCCACUGCACCACAAUGGGAACUCCCUUAAAAAUACUGAACAACCUUGUGAUACCCACACAGGUAUCAUAUCACUUGUUUUAUACCUGAUGCCCAGAUGCCGAGCUGCAGCCAUGUCAGCCAGGGUCCAUGAUAAUGUGUCUCCUGUGUGGUUAUGAACACAACUCAUAGUGAUAUAUUCCUAAAAUACCCAAUAGUGAUAUUUUUCACCCUUUGAGGGUGCAAAACUAGUGUGCCAAGUGACACACAGAUGAUCUGAGGCCCUCCUGAGAUUCAUCAUGUGUAAUUCAUAAACACAAGGAAAAAAUUGCAAAGCUCUUCCUAGAAAAAGAGUGGGCUCACCUCAACCUAGAAUCUCCUUGUGUGAUGAUGGAAGGGAUGAAACUACCCUCAAGCUCUAUAAUCAAUAAAACAAGUACACAAACUGGUUGCAGUUGUUUACUAAACUCUUUCCUAAUUUUCCUCAUUCUAAUCAUCUUGAAUGUUCUCUUCCUUAGUUUAAUUUACCCACAUUCAUGGAACUUCUGGCCAGGCUUGUGAAGUGGAUGUUUUUUGCUCUCUGAAGACCUUUCAGCCUCCUAUUCUCUUUUCUGUACAUCUCAGGGCCCUUCUGCUGCCUGUGCCUCCUUCGUCCCGUAAACUAGGUCAGUGCACCAGCCUGGUACUUUUGUCAGUUAACUAAUACUUGAGUUUAUGUAAUGGGUCAAGUACUGAGUUAGGAUAUAAAAGUAAACCAGAAAACCUAAGUGCCUGUUCUCACAGGGCUUGAUAGUGUAAUAAUAGAGGCUGAUAAAUAAGCAAGCAAUUUUAAGGGUUCAUGACAACCGUACGAUGAAAGAAGUAUAUGUGAUGCUAUAAGGAACUUGGAAGUUGCCUGGGAAACUUUCUAGAGAAAAAAAAGCUAAAACUUGAGGAUUUAUACUCAUAAUAAACUCAAAAGAUAGGAACACUUACAGCUGUUGACACACACACACACACACACACACACACACACACACACACACACACAAUGCCCAUUUCAUGUCAAAGGAGGCAUCAUAGGUCAGUAAGGAAGGAAGGAGACUGAAUAUUUAACCUCCGUAGUUGGAAUGGCUUAGGAUAGCUUGCUUCUAUUGAGGAUCAGCAAACUUUCUUCAGGUACCAUACUCUGGCAGAAACUAUCCUUUGAGUAACAGAACUGCUCACUUCUGCUCUACAGCUGAGUUUUUAGCAGGACACAUGGUCUCCUUCCUUAGAGACUACAUUUUCCAGGUUCUCUUGCAACUAACUCAUGUUAGUUCAGUGUUCAGGGCAAUGGAAUGGGAGCAGAGUAUAAUGUGAAAUUCCUGAUCACAGCUUUGAAAUAAAGAUUCAUCUUGGUCCCUUAGCCUACCCCAUCCCACCCAUCUUUUUUCUUGCUCCCUUGCCUUAGGUUGGAGGAUGUCAGUGGUUGUGAGAUAGCUCAAACCAGAUGGACAAGCGCAGCCCUGAGGGAUAAUAGAAUGCCACCACAGCAGAAUCUGGGUCCCUAAAUGGCCUCCUGGAGCAGGGUGGUCUGUCUGGUACUGGACUGUUAUGUGAAGGCCACCUUAUUCUGGGAUUUGGUAAAGUAAAAUAAAAUGGAGACCAGACUUGAAAAUCCCCCAAGCAGUCAAAACCAUUUAAGCUGUGUAAAUAAAACUAAAACUAACUUAUUUCAUGAAUAAAUAUGAAACUAAGGUUAUUUCUUAUAAAUGCCUCUGAUAAUCAUAAAAGAUACUUAAGUCAUCUUCCUAAAAUGAUGGAAAAUAAUUACUUUUAACCAAUAUCCUACCAUCUGGAACCCACAUUGUAAUAACCAGUCAUUGUAAAGGUUAAAAAACUCCUCAUUUUUACUUUAUAAGCCAUCCUGUAAUGUCAUGCCUUUGAACUUCACUUCAGCUUUGGAAGGCUCCCAAUUCAUGAACUGUUCUUUUGAGCAUAUUAAACUCUCAUUUAAUACUGUUUUACUGAUCCGGUUUUGGUUUUUACUGUUUCUGGAUUUUUGACAGGUUCUCUGUGAUGUAGUAUAUUAGGCUGUACCCUAAACAAUACAAAUAAUUAAUAGUCAACCUUCUAAUAAUUAAUUUACUUCCAAUAUAAUUGCUCCAAUAGAAAGAGAAUUAACAUUUAAAAAAGUUUUUGUCCCUGUAACAGCUAUUAAUAAUUAUUAAGUACUAAAUUAACAUUAUGAUUAUGAUUUUAUUUCCCAUGUAAUUUGGCUUCUGAAGAUAAGCUAGUCUUGCAUAUGUAAGUCUUCUAGUUUGAGACCACCAUCUUGCAAGCUCAGUUGAUCGUCAGUUCACCUCUGGUACUCAGAUGGACCAAAUUUAGCUCUCAUUCUGCAAAACUGAGAGCCAGAUUGGAUCAGAGUUGAAAGAAAGAGAGAGAGAGAGAAAAAGAAAAAGAAAAAGAAAGGAGGGAAGGAAGGAAGGAAGGAAGAUACAGACUACAUUUUUCUUUUAAGAGACAGUGAACUCAUCUUUCCUUGAUGGACCAAUUCAGCUUCCUCAAAGGUUAUACAUAUCACUGGGUAGACAUCCUUGAGCUAUGAUUUUAACUUGAUUGAGUUUCUGUGUAAAUAGAGCAGAAAUAAAUGAGACAAUAUCAUGUGAGUAAAAUAUCCAUUGAGUUUGGUCUCAUUCUCCGAAAUGAUUAUCGUUUUUGGCACCCCAAAUUUUGCAGUGUCACGAUCUUUAGCUUUUCUUAUCCUUUGACUUUUUGUUUUAACUUGUUCCGCUUUUGUUGCUUCCCUAUUUGGUAGGCUACAGGAGAAAGGGAGGUUAUUUAUGUCAAUUUUUAGUUAUAAUAAGGUAAACUGUUUUAUUUGGCAAUAAAAGCUGGAAAGCAGCUGGCAGUAUAAAUUCAUUUCAAAUAGUCUUGGCAAACAAUUGAAUCCAAUCUCCACAACAAAACUUGAGCAGACUUCAAAUGUCUGCGCUGGGGCCUACUGAAAAUUUUGAUGUUCUAAAUAGCUCUUCUUGGGAUUCACGUGCUGUGAGACAUUCAUUUUAUUUUGCAGUAAAACAAUAUAGAAAAUGUGUAUUGAAGUGUGGUUUUAUCAACUAUGUAGGGGCCAAAUAUAUGCAAACUAAGGUCUCUCUCUAUUCCUAUUACACUUUAGAACAAGACUCUUGAUGAAAUGAUUACAUCACUAAAGAAGUUCUGUCAAUCACUCUUCAGAUGUUUAAAUAUUACAAAUGGAGGCAUUGCAACUUACAUUGAAUGGUUUUACCAUCUGACUCAACAAAGAACAUUUGGGAAUUUUUUUUUAAUAUCCUAUGUAAUCUAUUAUUGGAGUAUUCCCAUAAAGGAUUCUUAUUUGCCUCUCAGUUGAACCACACUUGAUAAUUUUAAUGAUCCGGAAAAGGAUCUAGCAAAAGAAAUUGAAUAGCUAAUUUCCUCAAAUCAAAGGAGCAGUUUUCAAUAUAUAGCAUUUAGCAUUUGGGUGAGCAAAGUGGAGAUGUACUGGUUUCAGAAAAGUAAAAAUUCAUUCAGCCAUAACAAACUCUGAUCAUUGUGUAGAGAACUGUGUUGGUGUUCUCUCCUUUUAAGAGAGCAGACACUUGGAGUGUAUACCAUUUAAAAUCUAGUAGAAUGAACAGCAGGGCCCAAGACUUGAUCGUUAUUCUUUAUACUAUAAUAAACAGCAGUAGAUUCCUGAAGAGCCUUCAGUAUUCUGCAGAAUCAUGCUUUGAUGGCUGUGGACUGUGAACUGAAAGUGAGCUCAAGUCAGCUAUCCAUUAUGACUAACUUACGUUUUAUAAUUUUAUUUUCAAAACAUAUGUUUUCAAGUUGCUAAAGCCUUAUAUUUAAGAUUAAAAUCUUUAAAAUAAAAAGAUUUUUCUUUAAGAUUAAAUCUUAAGAAGAUUGCUAAGAGCUUCACCGUGAAUGUACAGUAUGUUCUUUUCUUUACAAGGAAGCUUCAGUUUAUUAAAGUGAGGACAUAACACAAAAGACUUCUGGAAACAACAGAUUUUCCAGACCAAUGGGGAUGUGGGAGGCAUUUAAGCCAAUUAAACAACUGAACUACAGGGAGUUGUUGAUAUAUUUCCCAAGGGGUUAUAAAAGUGAACCAAGAUCAUUGUAGUCAUCAAAACCCAGUCAUGUACCAAUUUGAAUGCUAAAUAUUGAUUUUGUUUUUUUUUUUAAAAAAAGGAGGCAUAAAUACAGCAUUCAAACUAACUCUACUCCAACUUUCAUUUUUCUGAUGAAUGGCACCGAUAUUUUUUGCAGUUGAAAGUUCUCUACUGCAGAAGUGAAAGAAAAAUUGAAAUAAGCAGAAUUUACAAAUGUUCCCACAUUCAAGAAAAUGGACCUUUAGAAGUAAAAAUGAAAAACAGACCUUCUUGACUGACAAUCAGUAUUCAGGCAGUUUCUAAAGUGUGAUUUCCUGCCAAAAAACCCAGAAUCCUCACGUGCUUCAAAGAAAGGCUGAAACUAUCCCUGCUGUAUGCCAGGCAAUGUGCAAAGUAAACACUUUACAUAAUUAUUACAUUUAAUCCUCAGAACAAUCCUGUGAGGCAGAAAUUAUCACCACUUUGCAAAUGAGGAAAUGGAAAUUGAGACUAUAUGUAAUGCUCAAGAUUUCAGUUAUAAAUAUAAGAACUGAGAUGCAAAACCCAAGUCUAGAUGAUUCCAAAGUCCAUUUUUUCUAUUGUGCCAUAAACCAAAUGUCAAUAUAUAUAUAGGCCAGACAGUAAAAAUGACUUCAUAUAAUUUUAUUUUAAGUUAAUACGGAGUUCCCUCUGUGGCACAGUGGGUUAAAAGUCUGGUGUUGUCUCUGAGGUGGCUUGGGUGGCUCUUGAGGCAGGUUCAAUCCCUGGCCUGGUGCAGUAGGUUAAAGAUCUGGUGUUGCUGCAGCUGCCACU